rnacentral:rRNA from 1 species
UACGUAGGGGGCAAGCGUUAUCCGGAUUUACUGGGUGUAAAGGGAGCGUAGACGGCUGUGCAAGCCAGAUGUGAAAGCCCGGGGCUCAACCCCGGGACUGCAUUUGGAACUGCGUGGCUUGAGUGUCGGAGAGGCAGGCGGAAUUCCUAGUGUAGCGGUGAAAUGCGUAGAUAUUAGGAGGAACACCAGUGGCGAAGGCGGCCUGCUGGACGAUGACUGACGUUGAGGCUCGAAAGCGUGGGGAUCAAACAGG